GAGACAAGGAAGGACUCUUUACGGAUUCGGCGGUUAAGGAUUUUAGCGUUUGCUUUUGUAUUUUUCUAGGAACGCGUUUUAGCUGUUAUAAUCUCAUUUGGAAUUUUCAGAAUCGAUUUGCGUUUGCGUUUAGCGUUGUAAUGUUGUUUGGGAUAAAUAUAUGCGUUUGCGUUUUACCUCUUUUUAGCUCUCCCUUCUUCUAUUCAGAGAGAAACGACACUAAUUAAAUUGGUUGUCAAAACGGCACGCAUUUAGCUUUCAAGGAAAGAGAUUGAGUGAUGAUUAGUAAACUUGAAACGACACGCAUUUU
rnacentral:lncRNA from 1 species